UACAGAGGGUGCAAGCGUUAAUCGGAAUUACUGGGCGUAAAGCGUGCGUAGACGGUUAUGUAAGUCAGAUGUGAAAGCCCCGGGCUCAACCUGGGAAUUGCAUUUGAGACUGUGUAGCUAGGGUGCGGAAGAGGGAAGCGGAAUUUCCGGUGUAGCGGUGAAAUGCGUAGAUAUCGGAAGGAACACCAGUGGCGAAGGCGGCGACCUGGACAGUAACUGACGCUGAGACGCGAAAGCGUGGGUAGCAAACAGG
rnacentral:rRNA from 1 species